rnacentral:rRNA from 1 species
GAGUAACGCGUAUCCAACCUGCCCACCACUUGGGGAUAACCUUGCGAAAGUAAGACUAAUACCCAAUGAUAUCUCUAGAAGACAUCUGAAAGAGAUUAAAGAUUUAUCGGUGAUGGAUGGGGAUGCGUCUGAUUAGCUUGUUGGCGGGGUAACGGCCCACCAAGGCAACGAUCAGUAGGGGUUCUGAGAGGAAGGUCCCCCACAUUGGAACUGAGACACGGUCCAAACUCCUACGGGAGGCAGCAGUGAGGAAUAUUGGUCAAUGGACGAGAGUCUGAACCAGCCAAGUAGCGUGCAGGAAGACGGCCCUAUGGGUUGUAAACUGCUUUUAUAAGGGAAUAAAGUUAGUCUCGUGAGACUUUUUGCAUGUACCUUAUGAAUAAGGACCGGCUAAUUCCGUGCCAGCAGCCGCGGUAAUACGGAAGGUCCGGGCGUUAUCCGGAUUUAUUGGGUUUAAAGGGAGCGUAGGCCGGAGAUUAAGCGUGUUGUGAAAUGUAGACGCUCAACGUCUGCACUGCAGCGCGAACUGGUUUCCUUGGGUACGCACAAAGUGGGCGGAAUUCGUGGUGUAGCGGUGAAAUGCUUAGAUAUCACGAAGAACUCCGAUUGCGAAGGCAGCUCACUGGAGCGCAACUGACGCUGAAGCUCGAAAGUGCGGGUAUCGAACAGGAUUAGAUACCCUGGUAGUCCGCACGGUAAACGAUGGAUGCCCGCUGUUGGUCUGAAUAGGUCAGCGGCCAAG